CCUACGGGUGGCAGCAGUGAGGAAUAUUGGUCAAUGGGCGCAAGCCUGAACCAGCCAAGUCGCGUGAGGGAUGACGGUCCUAUGGAUUGUAAACCUCUUUUGUCGGGGAGCAAGGCCCGCCACGUGUGGCGGGAAGGAGAGGACCCGAAGAAAAAGCAGCGGCGAACUCCGUGCCAGCAGCCGCGGUAAGACGGAGGAUGCGAGCGUUAUCCGGAUUGAUGGGGUUGAAAGGGUGCGUAGGCGGAAGGUUAAGUCAGCGGUCAACUGUCGGGGCUCAACACCGGCCUGCCGUUGAAACGGGUCUUCUUGAGUGCGCGAGCCGUCUGCGGCAUGCGUGGUGUAGCGGU
rnacentral:rRNA from 1 species